rnacentral:rRNA from 1 species
UUGAGAGCGGCAUACGGGUGCGGAACACUGUGUGCACUGCUUUUAUCUGGGGGAUAGCCUUUCGAAAGGAAGAUUAAUACCCCAUAAUAUGUUGAAUGGCAUCAUUCGACAUUGAAAACUCCGGUGGAUAGAGAUGGGCACGCGCAAGAUUAGAUAGUUGGUGAGGUAACGGCUCACCAAGUCUACGAUCUUUAGGGGGCCUGAGAGGGUGAUCCCCCACACUGGUACUGAGACACGGUACCAGACUCAUACGGGAGGCAGCAGUGAGGAAUAUUGGACAAUGGGUGAGAGCCUGAUCCAGCCAUCCCGCGUGAAGGACGACUGCCCUAUGGGUUGUAAACUUCUUUUGUAUAGGGAUAAACCUACCCUCGUGAGGGUAGCUGAAGGUACUAUACGAAUAAGCACCGGCUAANUCCGUGCCAAGCCAGCCGCGGUAAUACCGGAGGGUGCAAGGCGUUAUCCGGAUUAUGGGGUUCUUCAAAAGGGGUCCGUAAGGCGGGAUCCUGUCAAGUCCAGUGGUGAAAUUCUCCACAAGUUUACUUGUUGGAACUGGCCAUUGGAUUACUUGGAGGGUCCUUGGAAUUGUUUGUCAAAUUUAUU